AACGAACGCUGGCGGCAUGCCUAACACAUGCAAGUCGAACGAAGUCUUCGGACUUAGUGGCGCACGGGUGCGUAACGCGUGGGAAUCUGCCCUUGGGUGCGGAAUAACUUCUCGAAAGGGAUGCUAAUACCGCAUAAUGUCGUAAGACCAAAGAUUUAUCGCCCAAGGAUGAGCCCGCGUAAGAUUAGCUAGUUGGUGGGGUAAAAGCCUACCAAGGCGACGAUCUUUAGCUGGUCUGAGAGGAUGAUCAGCCACACUGGGACUGAGACACGGCCCAGACUCCUACGGGAGGCAGCAGUUGGGAAUCUUGGACAAUGGGGGAAACCCUGAUCCAGCCAUGCCGCGUGAGUGAUGAAGGCCUUCGGGUUGUAAAACUCUUUCGCGCACGACGAUAAUGACGGUAGUGCGAGAAGAAGCUCCGGCUAACUUCGUGCCAGCAGCCGCGGUAAU
rnacentral:rRNA from 1 species